rnacentral:ncRNA from 1 species
AUGUUGUAUGAAAGGAGAGAAGGUUAGCACUCCCCUUGACAAGGACGGAAGAGGCCCUCAGGCCUGUACAACACACAUGCUGUUAAAGCAUUGCCACCUACUUUGUGGCAUCUAACCACUGUUUUUC